UUGAUUUGAUAAUUUAAUAUCAAUAAAGUAUUAUCUUAUCUUUAUAAGACGCUAAUUUUUACCCCUUAUUAAAUUUGAGCUGGGUUUGCUUAGAUUAACUAUCUAAUUAAUUCAUAUGUUGGAGUGUGGAUUAAUAUUUUGUUGUUCUUUCAUUUUCUCCUUUCGAUCAAAACACAGCCAGCAUAAACAAUAAAUGAGAAUGAAAUGGAUUCUCUCCCUGCAAACAUUUCGACGUCUAAUAAAAGUUGAAACGACGUCUAAACGUACACGUCGCCAGGAGAUUUAAAAGUAAUGCUGAAAUGCAAAUUGAAACGACGUCACGUUACCUUGACGUCUUUUUAACUGUCGUAAACAGUUUCUCCCCAACGUCACGUUGUAACCUAGACAUCUUCUAAACGCGCAUUAUUCACCUUGUAAAAAUAAUCCAGUGUAAAUAUAUAUAUAUGUAUAUGUAUAUGUAUAUAUAUAUAUAUAUAUAUAUAUAUUUUUUUUUUUUUUUUUUUAAAGCUGUAUGUGUCGAGUUUUAGAUGUUGUUUCUGCAGUGGAGUUAAAAAGAGGUUGACCAAUGCAGGUAGAGGAGAUGUUGACGUUGCGAUUUGACGUAUUUUCAACAUGCAAUUCAGCAUUACUUUUAAACCUCCUGGCUGCGUCUCGGUGUAGACGUCGUUUUAACGUUUGUCAAAGGUCGAAAUGUUAUCUGUUCAAAUUGACUUAUUAACUGUGAAACAAUAACAGUAUUUACAUAUAGAUAACACAUACAUUUAAUGAAUAAUAAAUUAUAUUAAAAACAUUAUUUUGUUAUCAAUAAACACAUGUAUAUAAAUACAAUGUAUUAACAGAACUAGCUUUGGGGGAAAUUAUAAGUUUAACAACACAAAAGUGCAAUUUUUAACAUUUUAUUAAACAAAUCAAAUCAGAGCACAGUCCAAAAACUGUAAAAAUAUAACCCGUUCUCAUUCCUAAGGCGUAAUAUACCGACGAUUUAUCACGCCCCCCUAGACGUCUGAUAAUGACGCAAAAGGUACCCUUUCACGUCUUUAUAAGACGUUCUGGGUUCUCAGUUGACUUCAAUGUAAACCGCUCGCGGCGGUAAGAGGCGCUUAGAGCAAAGGCUCCAGUCCUCCAUUCACUACAAUAAUAACCCGUUCGUGGUGAGAUAUGACGCUGCGAGCUUCAAUCUGAUUGGAGAAUGGAGGACAUUCUGCCCGGAAGUGUUUUUCUCACUAUUUUAAGCAUUUCUUUUACUGACAUCGUCAACACAUCCGAGUAUCACUGCUGAUUCAACAAUAAAGUAGCUUCAUGUUGUGGCCAUCACUUUUAAUUUUCCCUCCUUCGGUUCUGAGAAAUAAACUUUUAUUCAUGUUUUGGAUAGCGGGAAAGCCUACACUACCCAUAAUCCUCGACCACGAUGAUUUGUCACGCCCCUAGACGUCUGAUACUAACGCAAUAGGUACCCUUCCACCUCUGUAUGAAACGCUCUGCAAUCAGUGUUUUCCAGACUGAUUCAGGGUCUGAAAGGGAACAGAUUUACCGAAGUCACAAAGGAGAAGAAAGUGAUUGGUUGAUUGUAACGCAGGUAUGUAAAAAAUAUAUGACUACAUUGAGAAAGUGAUAAAUGUUUUAGAAAGACAGAUUAGCUUGAUUCACUUCAAAAAAAUUUUUUUUUUCAGAAAAGCUUCAAAGGCGUCUGAUUUUGGAAGCAGUUUAAGACCUUUAAAAAUGACUACUGCGUCCUUCAGCAUGCUUGCUAAAUAGAGUAACGACUACACGUGGCUACUGCAGCAUUAGCUAUUUAUUCCACCAAUGAUGGAUUAAAUCUAUUACAAACAUUAAAGGAGUUGUAUGUUGCAAAAUAGCCAAAUAGCCCCACCAUUGUUAUUAUCUGUGUUGUUAUGUCAUGUGAAUUGCUUUGUUAUGUGUUUGUGUCACUGAGUUCUGUCAAAAUGUCUUUCCUCUUUAGUUUGAAAAAUCUUGAGCUAGAGGAAGAGCUUCAGGGUGCCGACGAACUUCUUCAGGAUAUGGAUGUAACAUUAUUUUUAAAAGAUGUAGGGUAAACAGUUUUUACAGGGGAAACAUUCUUGUCUAAUUUAUUGUGGGGAGUCAAAGUUGUAUUAUUUAGAUUUAAUAUAUAUAUAUACAGUAUAUAUAUGACUGUGUAUACAUUAAAGUUCUGUGAAAAUAACUUAAGAUGUUUAAAAAUCAUGAAUAAAUAAUGCUUUAAUCACGGACUGUAUUUUAAGUGUUGCAAUUUUUUCUUAUGUGUUUAAUGAGGCACAGGGUGAACCUCAGACAUGACCAGUGCGCUGGAAAAAACACGACAGACGAGAGAUGUUAUUCCUCAAAGGCCGUCAUCCAGUCGAAGUACUAGUGGCUUGGCACAUGUGUCAACUGAUCAGCAUCAAUGUCCAGGUGAAGGACCUAGUUGUGAUGUUGCCAGUGUCAACACAACAAAAGUGCUUCGUCAGGAGCUCCUUCAGUUGUUGGAGGAUGGAGAAGAGGAUGCAGCAGUGACUUGCGAGAUGUCGUCUGAGUUGGCUGCUACUGACUGGGAGAUCAGAAACACGGAGUCCUGCUAAAGUGGAAAGAGGCCAGGCCUUCUCAUAUUGACAAUAUGUUGGCUACUCUGGAUCCACAGAGUCUGUGAUAUUACAGUUCACACACACAUUGUCCUGCACAACAGAGAGGCACUAACAGGAGUCACACUAUUUUGAUAGUGUGACUAACCUUUGGAAUGAGCCACUUAUGUACAUGUCACUACAUCAAAUGCUUUCCAAAACAUACAUUUAAUUAAUAACAAUAAGUGAGUCUUGAUUGGAGUGUUUGCAGUCAUUACUGAACCACCUAUAGGUAGUAGGUAAACUGUUAAACUGGAAAUAUUUAAAGGUUCUGUCGUAAACAUGAAAAAUAAAAGUGAUCCUCAUAUAUUUCUGUGUGCAUAACGAAAAUGCCAACCUCACUACAUUGAAGUCAACUGAGAGCCCAGAGCAUCUCAUACAGACGUGGAAGGGUACCUUUGCGUCCGUAUCAGACGUCUAUGGGCGUGACAAAUCGUCGGUAUAUUACGCCUUGGGAAUGAGAACGGGUUGAAAAAUAACGUGACCAAUAUCACUUCAGAUUAACAGUUACAGUUUAAGCUGUGUUACCAGUAAUAAAAUAAAAUAACGACCACUGCUGUGCCUUGUCAACACCAAUGUUGAUCAACAUCAAGAACAAACCUAACAAAUCAAAUCAGAACACAGUUGAAAACUGUUUUCACAGAGGCGUUCACAAUCGCUUCUUCUGGCUCCCUCUCUCUCCUCCGCCUGCUCAAAAAUACAAGGAUGAAAUAAAAUAUAGUCAAUAAAAUAAUAGUAAUAGAAGUGCAUAAUAAUUCAGUCAAAUUGGCAGUCUAGGUUAUGCAUUUAUAGAUUUCUCUGAGCCAAAAAUAAUAUCUAUACAUACAUAUCUAUACAAAAAAAAGAAAGUAAAUAAUAUUAAUAACGUUUUAAAGUACAAUUCAAUGCAUCAAUAAGAGCUUACAUGGAAAUACAGCCUAAAUGCAUUUUGUGACUAAAUACAAUUAAUAAUUUGUGUAAGCUUGCUAUUUAUUUCUCAUACAUUAUUGUAUAUACAGUGGGAACCUCUUGAUGAUCACAUCUGUUCUUGGGAAAUUGUAGACUAAGUGUUUUACCAUCUAAUUCACCUACGUACAUACUACAUACAUCACAUGAAUGUCACUUCAUGAAACAGACAUAUUUUGCUUUGUGGUUAUAAUUACAUAGGCCAAAUAGUCCCAGAUAAUGAUAAAAUAAAAAAAUAAAUAAAGAUUUUAAAUAGAAAAUGCAUUGUUGAUUAACAAAGCAGACAAUUUCAAUCAGACAUUGCAUUGGGAGUCAAAUUUUUAUAUUCACAAUCCACUGAAUGUCUACAUUUUGGUUUGAUAUUGGCUAUUCGACAGAUAUUCAAAAUAAGGAACGGUGUAUUUUUUUUCCAACACCUCCUAAGCCAUGUGACCUAGUGACUCCAAACCAAUGCAGAAUUCUUCCCUGGCUCCUGUUUCUUCCCUGGCUCCUGUCCUCUAAUAUCUUAUCGUUUUAUUUUCUAUCUCUUAUAAUUUACUAACGACUGUGUCUUAAUCCAAAAAAGCGUUGAAUAAGGUCAGCUGGACUUGUAGAAUUUCUUGAAGACGUUUCGCCACUCAUCCGAGU